UCCCAUGCUUUUCCACAGCUUUCUUGAACUUUUUCGAUCUGAAUACCGAUCCCUCUGUCCAUAUGUAUGGAUCAUUGUGAAGAAGAUGGAAGUUCAAGAAAGCUGUGGGACAACAUGGAAA
rnacentral:pre_miRNA from 1 species